rnacentral:rRNA from 1 species
UAGCUAGUUGGUGAGGUAAAGGCUUACCAAGGCGACGAUCUGUAGCGGGUCUGAGAGGAUGAUCCGCCACACUGGAACUGAGACACGGUCCAGACUCCUACGGGAGGCAGCAGUGGGGAAUUUUGGACAAUGGGGGCAACCCUGAUCCAGCCAUGCCGCGUGAGUGAAGAAGGCCUUCGGGUUGUAAAGCUCUUUCGGCCGGGAAGAAAUCGCAUGGGCCAAUACCCUGUGUGGAUGACGGUACCGGAAUAAGAAGCACCGGCUAACUACGUGCCAGCAGCCGCGGUAAUACGUAGGGUGCGAGCGUUAAUCGGAAUUACUGGGCGUAAAGCGUGCGCAGGCGGUUUUGUAAGACAGGCGUGAAAUCCCCGGGCUUAACCUGGGAACUGCGUUUGUGACUGCAAGGCUAGAGUACGGCAGAGGGGGGUGGAAUUCCACGUGUAGCAGUGAAAUGCGUAGAGAUGUGGAGGAACACCAAUGGCGAAGGCAGCCCCCUGGGUCGAUACUGACGCUCAUGCACGAAAGCGUGGGUAGCAAACAGGAUUAGAUACCCUGGUAGUCCACGCCCUAAACUAUGUCAACUAGGUGUUGGGUGGGUAAAACCAUUUAGUACCGUAGCUAACGCGUGAAGUUGACCGCCUGGGGAGUACGGCCGCAAGGUUAAAACUCAAAGGAAUUGACGGGGACCCGCACAGGCGGUGGAUGAUGUGGAUUAAUUCGAUGCAACGCGAAAAACCUUACCUACCCUUGACAUGCCAGGAACUUGCCAGAGAUGGCUUGGUGCCCGAAAGGGAGCCUGGACACAGGUGCUGCAUGGCUGUCGUCAGCUCGUGUCGUGAGAUGUUGGGUUAAGUCCCGCAACGAGCGCAACCCUUGUCGUUAAUUGCCAUCAUUUGGUUGGGCACUUUAACGAGACUGCCGGUGACAAACCGGAGGAAGGUGGGGAUGACGUCAAGUCCUCAUGGCCCUUAUGGGUAGGGCUCCACACGUCAUACAAUGGUCGGUACAAAGGGUUGCCAAGCCGCGAGGCGGAGCCAAUCCCAGAAAGCCGAUCGUAGUCCGGAUUGCAGGCUGCAACUCGCCUGCAUGAAGUCGGAAUCGCUAGUAAUCGUGGAUCAGCAUGUCACGGUGAAUACGUUCCCGGGUCUUGUACACACCGCCCGUCACACCAUGGGAGCGGGUUCCGCCAGAAGUAGGUAGCCUAACCGCAAGGGGGGCGCUUACCACGGCGGGGUUCGUGACUGGGGUGAAGUCGGAACAAGGUAGCCGUAGGGGAACCUGCGGCUG